GCCUUUCCACUGACUGCCACGUCGAGCUAUGUAAGGAACAGCAGGUUUUUAACUUACUGUACUUUUUCCUGUAACAAACCUGACGUCUGGGAGAAACACUGGAAGAGCGAGCCAAAACAAAUUUCUCAGCGUGGAACUGUUGACAACUUGGACUCUGCCGUUCCUGUGAGCACAGCAAAGACAGAGUGAGCAGUCGUGGAGAUAUCAUGAGGCAGCUCAAAGGCAAACCCAAAAAAGAAACGUCCAAGGACAAGAAGGAACGUAAGCAGGCCAUGCAGGAAGCCCGACAGCAGGUGGCCACUAUAGUACUGCCUACACUAGCUGUAGUGGUGCUGCUCAUCGUUGUCUUUGUCUAUGUGGCCACCAGGCCUGGUGCUAUAGAGUAGACCUUCAAGUUCUACUAAGAAGACAUGAACUCCUAAACUAAUGGGCUUUGAAAACUGACAAUGGCUAUACCCAAAGGAUUUCCCCCAUCAUGUGACAACCUGUCUGAAAGCGACCCUCCCCAAAGUGUGUUUCUUUGCUCUAAGAAGGAUUCAAGCUGCAGAAAGAAGAAAUCAAACUGAGCGGAGAAACAAUUGCUCCUUAGUGCCUUCAGAUAACAUCAUCAACAUCCAUUUAAUCCUGUUCAUUUUAGAGCAGCACAUGCAUUCAUGUUGUCUUACAAAAUUAUGCAAUAUCAUGCAUAACAAAGGACUCACGCACAGCUUGCCAAGUUUGACCAGAGGUGUUAAAAAAAUGUCUAAACUUUUGACUCGGUGCUAUUUUGAAUAUUUCAAGUCAAUGCAACAUGAGCCUGGUCUCUGACAUGUACCACUCUUUGGACAGCACCCACGCCUAUCUAUAUGAAUAGUAUGUAUGAAAAGUGUUUUAGGGACAAGAAGGAUUCAGUUUGCUCCUGCCUUGUUGAAUAUCUAAAUGCAGCUCCAGAGUAUCUUAUUGAAUGUAAUUGUAAAAUAUGUUCUCUUAAGUCCAGUAUGUUCAAACACACCCGAAUUUCUUCAUCUUUAAUGUGAAUGUUACCCAAUUUGUUUAUAUUAAGUUAUUGACAACUAUACCUUUGAGUUACUCAUGACAUCUGUGUGGAUGUAAUAAGGUGCCUUAACAGAUUUGCAACUAUUAUUUCAGUUAAAUAAAAGAAAAAUUUAAUAAUUUUGAGUUUGGUUAGUGUUUUAGAAUUCUUGAUAGAUAAGCAUUGAAGCCAGACCAUACUCCAGCGUUGACACAGCACUGCUGAGAUCUUGCGAUGCAAGACUAGGUAGUAUUUAAAUGUAUUCACUGAGCUUUAGUCUGGUUCUGAUUACUUAUGUUUUUAUUUGUAAGUCCGUCCUGGUAAAAUGUGAUGUCUAUCUGUUGCUUCAACUUAUUCAGUCACAUUUAUGUGGGAUUCAGUUGGUCCAGUAGAGGUGGGGAUGAUCUGGUGUCAGAAGUGUUUGAAUCUUUCACACAGGGACUUUAAAAAUAUGCAUAUUAACUCUUAGACAGGGUGGGAUGACACAAGUAGUGCUUAGAUACUAGUAUCGUACUGUGUACUUUUAUUGUACUUCUGUUGAGUACAGCUAUAAGCCUAUUGGUUUACACUAAAGAUGUAAAUCUUUAAAAACAACAAAUGUAUAGUUUAAUUCUACUAAAUUUUUUUCUGAAACAGCUGCCCACUGUAGAUUUUAACAAAUGUUAUCUUACUCAAACAUUAUAGUAUUUGGGGCAGCAGGACAGUGUAUGUGGGACAAUAAAGUGUUUUUUCAUGGCAAUGAA